AUGGAUUCGUCUGCCCAAGGAUGGGUCUGCGGCCUAUCAGGUAGUAGUGGGUGUAAUGUACCUACUAGCCUACAUCGGGUACGGGUUGUGAGAGCAAGAGCCCGGAGAUGGAUUCUGAGACAUGAAUCCAGGCCCUACGGGGCGCAGCAGGCGCGAAAACUUUACAAUGCGGGAAACCGUGAUAAGGGGACACCGAGUGCCAGCAUCAUAUGCUGGCUGUCCAGGUGUGUAAAAUACACCUGUUAGCAAGGGCCGGGCAAGACCGGUGCCAGCCGCCGCGGUAACACCGGCGGCCCGAGUGGUGAUCGUGAUUAUUGGGUCUAAAGGGUCCGUAGCCGGUUUGGUCAGUCCUCCGGGAAAUCUGACAGCUCAACUGUUAGGCUUUCGGGGGAUACUGCCAGACUUGGAACCGGGAGAGGUAAGAGGUACUACAGGGGUAGGAGUGAAAUCUUGUAAUCCCUGUGGGACCACCUGUGGCGAAGGCGUCUUACCAGAACGGGUUCGACGGUGAGGGACGAAAGCUGGGGGCACGAACCGGAUUAGAUACCCGGGUAGUCCCAGCCGUAAACGAUGCUCGCUAGGUGUCAGGCAUGGCGCGACCGUGUCUGGUGCCGCAGGGAAGCCGUGAAGCGAGCCACCUGGGAAGUACGGCCGCAAGGCUGAAACUUAAAGGAAUUGGCGGGGGAGCAC
rnacentral:rRNA from 1 species